UACGAAGGGGGCUAGCGUUGCUCGGAAUUACUGGGCGUAAAGCGCACGUAGGCGGUCUUUUUAAGUCGGGGGUGAAAUCCUGGAGCUCAACUCCAGAACUGCCUUCGAUACUGGAAGACUUGAGUCCGGGAGAGGUGAGUGGAACUGCGAGUGUAGAGGUGAAAUUCGUAGAUAUUCGCAAGAACACCAGUGGCGAAGGCGGCUCACUGGCCCGGUACUGACGCUGAGGUGCGAAAGCGUGGGGAGCAAACAGGG
rnacentral:rRNA from 1 species